CGCCCCCUCCUGCCCACCCACCCCCAGCACCGCGCCUGCGCCGUGAAACUCUUUGGGGCUGCGGGGUAGCGACCCGAGCGUGGGGGCGGGGAGGGGCGGUCCAGGUGUAUCGAGUCAGCUGCGUGCUACAGACGGGUGAGCGGCUUGGCGGCUCUUCUGGAUAGAGGGGCUGGCUUCAAGCCAGUCUUUUUUUCAAUUUCUAUUUUUAAGUUAAAUAUACCUAACAUAACAUUCACCAUUUUAAUCCUCUUUAAUCGGACAGUUCUGUGGCAUAAUGUACAUUCACACCGUUGCGCAACCAUCACUGUCAUUCAUCCCCAGAACGUCGUCACCUUCCCAACCGAACCCUGUACCAUAAAUAAUAACUCUCCAUCUCCAUCCCCAUCAACAUCCUACUUCCUGUCUCUAUGACUUUGACCAGGUUGAGUGAAAUAUUUUGGCUGCACCUUCAUUUCUGGUCUUCCUGGACACCUGGCCUGCAGGAGUACAGAUAUGCCAGAAGCACAGAGCUCCUGUUUCCUUAAUCCUGGCCUGCCUGUCCCUCUGGCUCCUCACCUCUCCAGUUUAAUUUGGCUGUUGACCCUGGGCCGGCAGGUCUCAGGCCAUCCCUUUCGGUAGGUGUUCAGGGCCUUUCUGUGACUGUUCUGAGCAUUCUCGAGUGAAAACUGUCAGGGUCCCUUCCCUGACACCUGUAGACUAUCGAUAAAAGGAAAUCAGCGAGUGUAUUUUCUGGAUUGAUCAAGGCCAAACAGGCUGAAGCAGUCAAUGCUCCUUGGUUAAAUCACCCUGUAAUCAAAUAAGGAGCUGAUGAACCAAGGGACCCUGGAAACGACCUGUGUCCACUUCCCUCUGCUAUAACACCUCCAUGGCUCAGAAAUGAUACAUGGCUUACUGUGUUUUUCUGUAAAUCACAGGUUGAAGCAAAGUCAUUCUCAAACCAUUCUCACGUGUUGGAAUCAGAGUAAUUUAAAUCUUAUCUUCCCUAAUCUGAGUUGACAUCUGUGUGAUGUGGUUCCUCCUCCUUGGCAUAUUUUACAAGCGUUUAAGGGUACAGAAAAAAGAUCUUACACUCUGGUAGCCUUUGCUUUGUUGAGGUAGAGAUGCCUUUUUAAAAAAUAUAUUUAAUUUAUUGUCAAGUUGGCUAACAUACAGUGUAUCCAGUGUGCUCUCGGUUUUGGGGGGUAGAUUCCUGUGAUUCAUCGCUUGUAUACAACAGUCAGUGCUCAUCUGCCUUUUCUUGUCUUUUAAGGAAGAAAUAAAACUGUCUUGAUUUACAGAAGGUAGAAGACAUGAUUGUACAUAGAAAAUCCUAAGGAAUAUAUAAAAAGCUAUUAGAACCAAUAAUUGAGUUUAGAAAGGUUACAAGAUACAGGGUCCAUACACACAAGUCAAUUGCACUUUUUAAUUUGAGAAAACUCUUAAACUAUUUUUUAAUGUGGCAAAAUAUACAUAACAUAGAAUUUUCCAUUUUAAUCAUUUUUAAGUGUGCAGUUUAGUGGCAUUAAGUACAUCCACACUGAUAUACAACCAUCAAGAUGGCUUCUUAAUAUAUAAAAUUUUUUUAUCACUAAAUAUAUCAUAUGUAUGUAUAUAUGAGUAUAUAUAUGUGUGUCUAUAUAUCUUUGAGUUGAAAGUGGAAUGGCAAGGCCUCAUGUUUUACCUGCGUUUCUACUUCAAGUUAGAACAAAAUCUAAGAACUGAAUUCUAUGUAUAACUAACCUACCAGGCAGUUUGCGUGUGGCAGUAUCAGGUUCCAUGCACUAUCUUGGGAAGACAAAAAAAAAAAAAAAAACUAAUAAGUACUUUAAUGGGAGAGGACACACUUUAUUCUAUGUAAAAUAACAGGUCUACCAGGUUUAAGCAUUACAAUAUCAAAACAUACUUAUUGUAGUAAAUAUAGAAAAUAUAGGUAGGCAGGAAAAAAAUCAACUAGAAGGAUGGAUAUUAUUGAUCUUGACCUUUUAGGAAUUGAUAACUCUGUUCCCUUCAGUAUUUGAGGACUUAAAUAAUAUUAGCUGGUGCAUGAGUUAAUUAUAAGCCACAAUUAUCAGACUUUUGCUCAUACCAUCUCAGGGGGACUACUGAGUUUCCGGCAAUAACGGGCUAAUGGGUUUUAUUUCUGGUUUUGUUUGAGAGAAAACCAUAUGAGGGAUUCAUUUUAUAUGUGUCUGGGUUUGGUUUUUCCCCUCCUAAGUGACGUGUUUGUAUACUAUUCAUCAGCUGGUUAAGCGUAUAUAUGGCACAAGUGUACCUAAUGUCUCUUCUGACCUUUGAAUUGGAAGGGAUUUAAUUUUACCAAGUGUCAUUUACACUCCUAGGUGAUCAUUAGAAUUAGAUAGUGCAAACGUCUGAUAAAGAGAUUCUGGCUUCUAUUUACUCUGAAAGAGGUAUUCAUGCCAAGUGGUAAACUGCCAAUGGUAAACUCCUUAUCUGCACUAGUGGAAGGCUGGUAUUGCACACAUUUCCCUGGAGCAGAAUAUCCAAAUGGCUUCUGUGUCCUUUUGGAAUGCAUCAUGAUCUUAGAAUAACAGACUCUUUGAUUAAGAAGUCCAACUCCCUUAUUUGUACAAACCCCUAUGCCCCUCAUCAGACACAGGUGCUCCCCUCCUAGUUUUCCUCUUGUACCUUGUCCAACCUUUAUUACCGCCCUAAUCAUGCAGCAACAUGAGGAGUUAUUUACGUUAACACAUAAACAAUAGAGGGAGACAUUCUUCGGCCAGACUGUAUCUUGCUCAUCUUUGUUGUCUUCAGCACUUAGCACAGUGCCUGGAACUUACUAGCUUCUCAAUAAAUAUUUGCUGAGUGAAUGAAUGAUGAAACCAAGGCCCAGGGACAGGAAGUGACCUGCCCAAGAUCACAAGUCUAGUUAGUAACGUUCUGAGAGGUAGGUUAUGAAAACAUUUUAAUUACACUGCGUUACUUGAAAGCACAUAGUGAGAGGCCAGAAUUACACUCGUCUUGGAAUAAAACUCUGGUGACUGGUUAUUCACAGGAUUGGAAAUUCAUGCGACAGCUUCAAGAGUUGACUCUGAGGUCCAUCUUGAGAGGUGUUUUUGGUACCUUUGAGUUUUGCUUCUCUUGCUAAUAGUCUACCAGUUAGAAUGGUGGGUUUGUGUUUGUGGUGAGGAGGAAGCCACCUUGGUUGUCUUUGCCAUGAUUGGGAAAGGCUAGAGUGGGAGAAUCCCCUAAUCUAUGGAAGGGCAGAGAGACCUCUUCCCACUCAUUCCCAGGAUCCACAGACCCUUGUUUAUAUUCAUGGUCAGUCUUUGUUAGAAAUAUGUAAUCAUUUUUGGCAGAAGUUGGGGAUGGCUGGUGGCAAUCCUGCACAUUCAUGUGUGUGUGUAUGGGUGUGUGUGUGUAUGUGCGUGUGUGUGAUGAACAUUCAGUCUUGUGCCAAGAUCGAGGCGUUGUUGUUGUUGUUGUUGUUGUUGUUGUUGUUGUUGUUGUUUUUGAGGCAGAAAGGGUUGGAGUAUCAGGUGAGAUAUCAGAUGAGAAUGCUUGGCCUUUGAGGAGGUCAGGGAGACCCAGAAAAUGUAGUCUGGCCAGUGGCCGGGUGGCAGUUAUCACUGAAUUCGGCAGAGUCCAACCUGAAGGUGUGCUCUGGGAAAUCUGCUACAGGGAAGCCUCAAGAUGCUGACCCUGGAUCUUCUUCUGAGUGAUGGCUGGAGUGUGCAUUGUGCACGCGUGUGUGUGUGUGUGUGUGUGUGUGUGUGUGUGUGUGUGUAUGUUGUGUGUGUGUGUGUGUGUGUGAGAGAGAGAGAGAG